GGAUGUGAGGGCGAUCUGGCUGCGACGUCUGUCACUCCAUUGAUUGUCAGGGUUGAUUCGGCUGAUCUGGCUGGCUAGGUGGGUGUCCCCUUCCUCCCUCACCAUUCCAUGUGCGUCCCUCCCGAAGCUGCGCGAUCCUUAGAAGAGGACGGCCUUCCCAGAACAGAAACGGACUGGUCUUCUGGUCAAAGGUAUAUGAGUAGCUGCGCUCCCCUGCUAGAAGCUCCAAACAAGCUUUCAUUUCUGUAGGAUCAGUUACCAAGUGGGGGCUUUAGAGGCUUUGUUUUAACAUUUUUUUAAAAGGAAAACUUUCUUUCUCU
rfam:Erinaceus europaeus unplaced genomic scaffold scaffold00448, whole genome shotgun sequence